UAGAGUUUGAUCCUGGCUCAGGAUGAACGCUAGCUACAGGCCUAACACAUGCAAGUCGUGGGGAAACGACCGUGGUGCUUGCACCACGGGGCGUCGACCGGCGCACGGGUGAGUAACGCGUAUCCAACCUGCCCAUGAGUGGGGAAUAACCCGUGGAAACGCGGCCUAAUGCCCCAUGUAGCGCGAAGCGGACAUCUAACUCGCGCCAAAGGUUCGCCGCUCAUGGAUGGGGAUGCGUCCGAUUAGGCAGCAGGCGGGGCGACGGCCCACCUGGCCGACGAUCGGUAGGGGUUCUGAGAGGAAGGCCCCCCACAUUGGGACUGAGACACGGCCCAAACUCCUACGGGAGGCAGCAGUGAGGGAUAUUGGUCAAUGGCCGAGAGGCUGAACCAGCCAAGUAGCGUGCAGGAUGACGGCCCUAUGGGUUGUAAACUGCUUUUAUGCGGGGAUAAAGUUCACUACGUGUAGUGUUUUGUAGGUACCGCAUGAAUAAGGACCGGCUAAUUCCGUGCCAGCAGCCGCGGUAAUACGGAAGGUCCGGGCGUUAUCCGGAUUUAUUGGGUUUAAAGGGAGCGCAGGCCGCCGAUUAAGCGUGACGUGAAAUGUCCCGGCUCAACCGGGGAGUUGCGUCGCGAACUGGUUGGCUUGAGUGCGGACGAGGUAUGCGGAAUUCGUGGUGUAGCGGUGAAAUGCUUAGAUAUCACGAAGAACCCCGAUUGCGAAGGCAGCGUACCAGGCCGUAACUGACGCUAAUGCUCGAAGGUGCGGGUAUCGAACAGGAUUAGAUACCCUGGUAGUCCGCACGGUAAACCAUGAAUGGCCGCUGUUGCGAUAUAGUGUAAGCGGCCAAGCGAAAGCGCCAAGCAUCCCCACUCGGGAGAUCCCCG
rnacentral:rRNA from 1 species